UGUACAGUAUGUCCAGCACCACAGGUUACAUUCCUCUUGGCAUGUUUUCCUGACUUAAAGUGGGCAAAGGUGCUUGGACUUUCUCCUCGAUCCUUCAGUCCAAAGUCUUCUUUUGUACUCUAUGCACAGAAAGUAUUUCAGUUUGGUUCCUAUGAAUUUUCAACAUAACGACUGAAUCGAAUACAGCAAGUUACAUUUGUACUUCCUGACGGUCUUGCCUUAUAAAAACGACUCUUUGAGGGCUGAGUUGAGCUACUGCCAGGGGAGAAAAAAAAAAAUCAUUUCUGGUACUAGUUCCUGCUGUGGAAACCCCCAGUUGACAAACUGCUCUUCCUACAAUCACCUUCUGAGUAACGUGCUGCAAUGAUACUUUCUUAAUGCUGUCUAUAUCAUUAGUAAACUGUUUUGUGUUUUGCUGCAUUUGAAAAAAGAAAGAAAGAAAGAAAAGGAAAUUGUGUUUAAGUGAAAAAAAGAGGAGAAAGAAUGCAAUGUUGCCAGUGAGAGUUUUCUCUGUACUGUACCUGCGCUUCAUGUACCUGACGAAAAGAUCCACUUACCACCCCUCAGUAUGUGCCUCAGCUCAUCUCUGUGCUCAUGACUGUGUAAAUACGAAAACGUAAAAAGUGAUCGCACAGAGCAGAUUAGAAAUGCAAAUUAUUGUAAGGCGUUAAAGAAGACAAAUCGUGAUUCGGGGACCACAUUUCUCUCUCUUACCUGUGAGUGUUUUUUUAACUUUGUGUUUGUGUUAAGUAUGCCAUAAUUAUGCUACGCACGGCUGUUCCAGUCCUUGCAAUGUAAAAAAUGAAAUAUUUUUGCUGUGUUACAGAUGUAUUAUGGGUUGAAGGUUUAAAAAAAUUGGAAUCUCGAAUAACGUUCGAACUAUGAACGCAGAUACGUGACAUUGUAUUAUUAUUAUUAUUAUUAUUAUAUUUAUUAGAUGUUUGCAGUUUUACUGCCUGGAGCUCAAGGUUUUUACAUGGUCUUUUCAAUAGGACACAGACUUUAUACUGUAUUAGUGGUUUCUAAGGGGGCAUGCCAAAAGAUGGACCAAAUAAAGAUCAAAACUUGACAUAAAAAAUGAAAGAAGAAUUUCAGUCUCUCUGCUGCAACCCUUAUUCAGAAAAAAAAGCCUACAGCAUAAAGCACACAGUAGCCACUGAAAAGAUUUUUAUCUCAGGGAAUUCAUUUCUCUCCGUCAGACAGAUAGUAACACUUUUUUUAAAACUUUUUUUUUGAAAAUUUGCAUUUACCAAACGUACUAGAUAGCACCAUGCCAUUUAAUUUUCAAUUUUAAUUAAUUCACUUUUAUUUAUUUUAGUUUGUUAAUUUUUUCAUCUUUAAUUCUAAAUUUGUAGAUUAUGGUGCUGUUUUAAAAUAAAAUGAAACAUGUUUGAUUUCAUUUUUGUCUGUCAAAUAACAUCACAGCGGCCGACAAGUAACCAUGGAACGACAUACGCGACCGAUAAAAAAAAAGAGUGCAUACUUAAUCAAUCUUUUUCGUGCACUUCGACAACGUUUCAAAUGUCCUAUUAUACUUGAAUGCACCACGUCACGUUCAGCCUAUCAGCGAGGAGUUGACGUGUAGACGCGCUAUUUCCUCAGUCGUUUCGGAUACCAGCAGCGGGAAGGAAGGCAGGUGCUUGGAGGAAGGAGAAAACGGCGAGUACGUUGUGAAAGGAAAAAGAUAAACCAGCACACUUACCAGCAUAGAGUCCGGAGUUGAGUGAGUAAAGGAGACGAGAUAAUGGAGUCUUACUCUUGCUUUUUCUGAAAGAAAAAAGAAAAAUUGAAGAAGAUGAAGUUUGACCAAGGAUAAAGAGAAAGACUGGGAGAAGACACAGAAAAAAGAGAAUCACUCCGUAAAAGGAACGAAGCUGCUUUCUCCAUUACAUGGGGGUGUGUUUGACACAUUGACAACACUGAUUUCGAUCUUCAGACGACAUCUUCCGGGAUACGGACGUUCACCAGUAUCCUCCUUCUCACAGCCAUCCUAUAUUUUCUCGCUUUCACAUCACCGAAACAGAAAUGAGAUCUUGUGAGGAAACAAGCAAUCAAGUCAAACAAAACACGGCCAAAGAAAGCGCCCCACCUCGUGGUCCCAAAAUGAAGGAUAGGCAAGGUCAUGUUUCUGAGAGGACGGGAUAGUUUGAGGACCAGGAUACGAUCCCAAUCAUAUUUGAUGACAAGCCAUGUGCCCUGAAGGAAAAGACACAGACAAGGGGAUACAGGUAUACACACACACACACACACACACCCAGACACGUCUUAAACGGGUGCACCUGCAACGUAUUUCAAUUUUUAAGUCCCUCAACAGUUAUUUUAUCUAUAGUCUACACAUUUUGUUUCUGAUUAUCUGGGUUGUUAUUUUCGUCUGUACCAGUAAAUUGUUUUUUCCGUUACUAUUGUAAAAAUUCAAGAGUGGCUUCUAAACAAUUAUUCUCUUUCUGAAUCAUUAUUGCUGCUUAAUAUAUGGCUUCUAACAAAUUUGGUGUCCUAUGAUUUUAUUUAUUACUAGCCUAAAUUGAUAUUGUACUGUAAUUCACUUAUAUCACUUAAUUUGGUUACAUUAGCAGCUGUCUUAGGAUCCACGUACGUAUGUCAGCAGGUCUUCUCCAUGAACAAUAUUGAAAACAAAAAUCGUCCACUUCUCACAUGCAGUUUACAAUCCUGUAAGAAGAGGGAGAUAAUGUUUAACAGCCCGGAAGUUCAGGCUGUGUGCACUUUUAAGAUCAAAAAACAACAUAAAACCAAGUAAAAUAAAUGUAAUUCUGUUAUUCUGCUUUUUUAUUUUACAAAUAUAUAUUUACUUUAAUCAGAGCUCAGACUAAUCAGAGCUAAACAAACUAAACAGUAAACAGACUAAAGUUUAUAUAUAUAUAUGAAGAGGGAAAUCUCAAUUAACUAGGGCCUAGUUAAAACUUCCGUGGACAUUGGACAUGUUUGAAGUUGAGCUGACCCUUGUUUUUGAUUAUAUAUUGGUUAACUCUCUUUUUACUUUCUUUUUAUAUACUCUAUAUGCAUUUGUGUUUGUGCUUUACUUGUUUUUCAUGCAAAUGAUUAUUUGAUUAUUGAAGGACAAUUAAAUGUCAUUUUUACCUUAAUCUUGAUUUUAUAUGAGACCCACUGCUCAGUUCCUGCCUACCCACACUUUUUGCUGAUUGGACCAGCUGUUCUACUUAAAUUCACCAUGGCAACCAUGACCUGUUGCCCAGCAACUCUGCUUUUCUUCCUGAUUCUUGCUAGUGUUAGUCAUAGACAGUAAAAAGAACAAAGAGGUUUUAGUUCCUGAAUUUGUCACCACAAAUAACAUCAUCACACAAAUUCCUACAUCUUUGCCAAUUAUCUAACAGUUUACCUCGUCAACAGAUUGUAUCCUUUGUUAAACCUGGCACCUCUAAACUUGCUGCACUUCUCUUCUUACCUAAUUCUGUCAAGAAAGGCAUUCUUUCUCCCAAAGUGUCUUCAUUUGCAAAGCUUUUGGUGUCUACAUUAUGU